UAAAUGACAUAGACCAAAAAAAAAAAUACAAAAGAUCAAUGAAACCAAGAGCUGGUUCUUUGAAAGGAUAAACAAGAUUGACAAACCUCUAGCCAGGCUCACCAAGAA